rnacentral:miRNA from 1 species
GUCUAUGGCCAUGCCACCCUGAACAUGCCCAAUCUCAUCUGAUCUCAGAAGCUAAGCAGGGUCGGGCCUGGUUAGUACUUGGAUGGG